rnacentral:rRNA from 2 species
CACGCCCUAAACGAUGCGAACUGGACGUUGGGCACACUUAGGUGCUCAGUGUCGAAGCUAACGCGUUAAGUUCGCCGCCUGGGGAGUACGGUCGCAAGACUGAAACUCAAAGGAAUUGACGGGGGCCCGCACAAGCGGUGGAGUAUGUGGUUUAAUUCGAUGCAACGCGAAGAACCUUACCUGGCCUUGACAUGUCCGGAAUCCUGCAGAGAUGCGGGAGUGCCUUCGGGAAUCGGAACACAGGUGC